rnacentral:rRNA from 1 species
AACGAACGCUGGCGGCAGGCUUAACACAUGCAAGUCGAACGCCCCGCAAGGGGAGUGGCAGACGGGUGAGUAACGCGUGGGAAUCUACCCAAUUCUUCGGAACAACUGAGGGAAACUUCAGCUAAUACCGAAUGAGCCCUUCGGGGGAAAGAUUUAUCGGAAUUGGAUGAGCCCGCGUUGGAUUAGCUAGUUGGUGGGGUAAAGGCCUACCAAGGCGACGAUCCAUAGCUGGUCUGAGAGGAUGAUCAGCCACACUGGGACUGAGACACGGCCCAGACUCCUACGGGAGGCAGCAGUGGGGAAUAUUGGACAAUGGGCGCAAGCCUGAUCCAGCCAUGCCGCGUGAGUGAUGAAGGUCUUAGGAUUGUAAAGCUCUUUCACCGGUGAAGAUAAUGACGGUAACCGGAGAAGAAGCCCCGGCUAACUUCGUGCCAGCAGCCGCGGUAAUACGAAGGGGGCUAGCGUUGCUCGGAUUUACUGGGCGUAAAGCGCACGUAGGCGGACUAUUAAGUCAGGGGUGAAAUCCCGGGGCUCAACCCCGGAACUGCCUUUGAUACUGGUAGUCUUGAGUUCGAGAGAGGUGAGUGGAAUUCCGAGU